rnacentral:rRNA from 1 species
UGCGUAACGCGGUGGGAAUCUGCCUUUAGGUUCGGGAUAACAGUUAGAAAUGACUGCUAAUACCGGAUGAUGUCUUCGGACCAAAGAUUUAUCGCCUUUAGAUGGGCCCGCGUUGGAUUAGCUAGUUGGUGGGGUAAAGGCCUACCAAGGCGACGAUCCAUAGCUGGUCUGAGAGGAUGAUCAGCCACACUGGGACUGAGACACGGCCCAGACUCCUACGGGAGGCAGCAGUGGGGAAUAUUGGACAAUGGGCGAAAGCCUGAUCCAGCA